rnacentral:rRNA from 1 species
UACGUAGGGGGCAAGCGUUGUCCGGAUUUAUUGGGCGUAAAGAGCGUGUAGGCGGCCUGACAGGUCUGCUGUGAAAACUCGAGGCUCAACCUCGAGAUGUCGGCGGAAACCAUCUGGCUAGAGUCCGGAAGAGGGUCGUGGAAUUCCCAGUGUAGAGGUGAAAUUCGUAGAUAUUGGGAAGAACACCGGUGGCGAAGGCGGCGACCUGGUCCGAUACUGACGCUGAGGCGCGAAAGCUAGGGGAGCAAACGGG